UUGUUGGGUAGGGGAGCGUUCUGUAAGCCUGUGAAGGUGUACUGUGAGGUAUGCUGGAGGUAUCAGAAGUGCGAAUGCUGACAUAAGUAACGAUAAAGCGGGUGAAAAGCCCGCUCGCCGGAAGACCAAGGGUUCCUGUCCAACGUUAAUCGGGGCAGGGUGAGUCGACCCCUAAGGCGAGGCCGAAAGGCGUAGUCGAUGGGAAACAGGUUAAUAUUCCUGUACUUGGUGUUACUGCGAAGGGGGGACGGAGAAGGCUAUGUUGGCCGGGCGACGGUUGUCCCGGUUUAAGCGUGUAGGCUGGUUUUCCAGGCAAAUCCGGAAAAUCAAGGCUGAGGCGUGAUGACGAGGCACUACGGUGCUGAAGCAACAAAUGCCCUGCUUCCAGGAAAAGCCUCUAAGCAUCAGGUAACAUCAAAUCGUACCCCAAACCGACACAGGUGGUCAGGUAGAGAAUACCAAGGCGCUUGAGAGAACUCGGGUGAAGGAACUAGGCAAAAUGGUGCCGUAACUUCGGGAGAAGGCACGCUGAUAUGUAGGUGAAGUCCCUUGCGGAUGGAGCUGAAAUCAGUCGAAGAUACCAGCUGGCUGCAACUGUUUAUUAAAAACACAGCACUGUGCAAACACGAAAGUGGACGUAUACGGUGUGACGCCUGCCCGGUGCCGGAAGGUUAAUUGAUGGGGUUAGCGGUAACGCGAAGCUCUUGAUCGAAGCCCCGGUAAACGGCGGCCGUAACUAUAACGGUCCUAAGGUAGCGAAAUUCCUUGUCGGGUAAGUUCCGACCUGCACGAAUGGCGUAAUGAUGGCCAGGCUGUCUCCACCCGAGACUCAGUGAAAUUGAACUCGCUGUGAAGAUGCAGUGUACCCGCGGCAAGACGGAAAGACCCCGUGAACCUUUACUAUAGCUUGACACUGAACAUUGAGCCUUGAUGUGUAGGAUAGGUGGGAGGCUUUGAAGUGUGGACGCCAGUCUGCAUGGAGCCGGCCUUGAAAUACCACCCUUUAAUGUUUGAUGUUCUAACGUUGGCCCCUGAUCGGGGUUGCGGACAGUGUCUGGUGGGUAGUUUGACUGGGGCGGUCUCCUCCUAAAGAGUAACGGAGGAGCACGAAGGUUGGCUAAUCCUGGUCGGACAUCAGGAGGUUAGUGCAAUGGCAUAAGCCAGCUUGACUGCGAGCGUGACGGCGCGAGCAGGUGCGAAAGCAGGUCAUAGUGAUCCGGUGGUUCUGAAUGGAAGGGCCAUCGCUCAACGGAUAAAAGGUACUCCGGGGAUAACAGGCUGAUACCGCCCAAGAGUUCAUAUCGACGGCGGUGUUUGGCACCUCGAUGUCGGCUCAUCACAUCCUGGGGCUGAAGUAGGUCCCAAGGGUAUGGCUGUUCGCCAUUUAAAGUGGUACGCGAGCUGGGUUUAGAACGUCGUGAGACAGUUCGGUCCCUAUCUGCCGUGGGCGCUGGAGAACUGAGGGGGGCUGCUCCUAGUACGAGAGGACCGGAGUGGACGCAUCACUGGUGUUCGGGUUGUCAUGCCAAUGGCACUGCCCGGUAGCUAAAUGCGGAAGAGAUAAGUGCUGAAAGCAUCUAAGCACGAAACUUGCCCCGAGAUGAGUUCU
rnacentral:rRNA from 1 species